UGGGGGAUAUUGCACAAUGGACGAAAGUCUGAUGCAGCAACGCCGCGUGAGGGAAGACGGUCUUCGGAUUGUAAACCUUUAACUUUGGGGAAGAAAAAAAUGACGGUACCCAAAGGGGCAGCCACGGCUAACUACGUGCCAGCAGCCGCGGUAAUACGUAGGUGGCAAGCGUUGUCCGGAAUUACUGGGUGUAAAGGGAGCGCAGGCGGGGAGGCAAGUCAGCUGUGAAAUACACGGGCUUAACCCGUGAAUUGCAGUUGAAACUGCUUUUCUUGAGUGGAGUAGAGGUAGGCGGAAUCCCGAGUGUAGCGGUGAAAUGCGUAGAUAUUCGGAGGAACACCAGUGGCGAAGGCGGCCUACUGGGCUCUAACUGACGCUGAGGCUCGAAAGUGUGGGGAGCAAACA
rnacentral:rRNA from 1 species